AUCAGAAACAGGAAAAGAGCCUUCUCAACCCUCAUGUAGGUCAAGAACCGUAUCACCUCUCUUUAACGCUGAAACCUCUCUUGUUCCUCUAGCCCAUGAUAAUUCCUUGAAGCCAGCAACCUUAACAGAGCAGCAGACUCCUCAAUUCCUCAUCUUUCCUGCCUGGAACUCCGACCCCACCCCCCACCGGACCUGCCUUGCCUCACAGGAGUAGUUCCUCGCCAAGGAAACCUUCACGAGAUAGGCAAUGAUCCGGCAGUUUAUAUGGCUCUUUUUGUCUUGUCAUUGUCGGGAUGAUUAGAGCUUCUGAAUAUGGAAAUUGAUCCAACUCUCUUUUGGGUCCUUUGUUGGGGGUCUUUCUUGAGGGGUUGACCUUUUCGUUUGAUUAAUUAUACCAUAUGAUGAACGGCUCUUAGCAUUUCUUGUGAUUCUCCGGGUCCCAAGAACAAGACAUCCCCACAUUCAGAGGUUAUUGGGGGAGAGAGAGAGAGGGAUUAAGAGGCUAUUGGGAGGGAAAGAAGAGGAAAGAGAUGGAAGGUGAGAGCGAUCGAGUCAAUAGGCGGUGGAAGUGGAGGAGAAAGCGAGCUGUAAAGCUAAAUCAAAACUAGAGGAAAAUCAAUCAAUACCCAAAUCAAAUUGCAAGUGCAGAACAUUAAUCAAUACCCAAAUUACAAACCUCAAAAUGGAUUUCGACUUUCAAUUUUCGACUUUCGUUCGAAAUUUCGACCGAAGAGAGAUAAUGAGAAGAGGAAGUCGAUAAUAGGCAACUUGCAAUUGAAAUUUCGAUCUUCGUUCGUUAGGUCACAUUGAGACUUUGAGAUUGAGAUUUCAAUAGAGAAGAGGUGAAUUGGUGAAGUCGUGAUUCAUGAAGAUGAAGACUAGGGUUUCAUAAUUUCAUUUUUCUUUUUGAGUUUUUUUGUUUUUUAAAUUUACCUUUAGGUCCUUCAUGUUUAAAAAAUUAUGAAUCCAUCCAACCGCCCGGUUCAUAUGGGUUCGAUGAAUUUGCCUAAAAACCGCUCGAUUGUUUGGGCUCAUCGAUCUAUUUAUGCAUUUUGGUUUUUAAUCUAAUCGAACUAGACAUAGGUUCGAUUUUUGGUUCGACCGGUUGAACUACCUGAUCCAAUCCGAUUCUAAUAACACUGGUAUGGAUGGUGAAGAUGGCUCCCCGGUAGUCGCUGAGCCCCCUCACCCCACCCCCCCCCCACCGCGUUCCGGCGUGGGGUUUGUGGUAAUGGUUACUUCUCUCCCCCAUUGUCCUACGCCCUCUUAUCUCUGUACAGACUAGUGGCGGAGAGCAGGAAGGCCCAACUUGCUCCUCAAGCGACAGAUCUCCGAUCGCUCCUUUAGUUCUGACGACGACUGGCCUUCUUCGACGGCGCCUCUACUCCUCUAAUCCAACUGUUCAGCUCUCAUCCUCCCCACUGGUGGCAGCUUCUACUUCGAUUGGAUGUUUUUGUAUGGUGAGCUGUCGCUGUGAAGUCUUUGAGUCAGUGGGUGCUUGGAGCUACAUCGGAGGCAAAUAUGUGAUCUGGAAGCUCCAUACAUUUACUGCCUCGGAGAAGACUGGAUUGCUGCCACUAUGCUUCUGAAUCUGCUGCUCCUAUGCUCCUGCUAAGUGAUGCCCUCUGCUCAUCCACAUCUUGCUUGAACUAACUAGAUCCAAUCAUAUAUGGACGAAUCUUGGUCAGAUCUAGUUGGAUCUUGCUUGAUCCUACCAGAUCUAAUCUAGACUUCAUCAAAUUCGGAUUGAUCCGAGUUUCGGUCGAGUUGGUUAUGACUCGAUUUGGGACGGACAAUUUGGAGUCAGACUAGUUUAGGCCUAGUGGAUCCGACCUGAUUGUGAGUGACAGAGGGGGCCGCACUCGAAACAUCUUAGCUUCUCCCUCUUUUGUUCUCCUAUUACGGGCGCGUUUCCUCGAUUUGUCGGCUCCUGGUAUGCUACUGGCUAGAUUGGUUAGCCCCUUGGCGCUCUCCCCGACUUAGCUGGAUUGGUUAGUGUUGGUUGCUUUCCCCGAUUUGGAUUAUUGGUUUGAUUUCGUGGCCCGACUCCGUAAUUGGUUCCUUGCACUUGAGUACAGCUCAAGACGCCCCUGCUUUGGUCUAAUAUCGAGAUCUCUUCAGAAUCUCAUUAUUAAAUGAUUGAGUUCUACAUGAAUAUAUAGCUUUAUGACCCUUCCCUAGUUUACCAAGGUCCAUGUGUGACAGUAGAAGGUUUUGAUCGGAAUGUCUGAUAGUUACUAUUAUUUUUCCACCUCAAUUCUUUCUUGUAGUAUGUCUGGUUGAAUCCAAUUAAUUAUGAUCUUGUAAUCUUUGUUUCUUGAGCAUUUUCACCU